UAGAAAUUUUCUUUUUAUUUCUUUCUCUAUAUUAUUAUUAUUUUUUCUUUCUCUUUCCUUUUUUCCAUCUCCCCAGCAGGUAUAACUAUAGAGAAUGUUGAGUAGAGUUGUUUGGCUUUGCUUCUAUAGCUGUAUGCACUUCUGAUGGCAACUUUUAUACUGGGCUGUGCGCUUCAAACUCUAAGCCUGUAGAUGGCACUUAUAGGUAUGAGCUGGUUGCAGCCAAUUUGGGGAUAUACUUGACCUUUGUUUACUGGGAGAAGCUCCCUGUUGCUUCAGGUAAAUGGGCUGAUCCAUGGAGUGCACAGUGGUCUGAGCUUCCUGUUUAGCCCCUGGUGAGUGGGGGACAUGAUGGAUGGAGCUGGACCAGGCGAGUCUGCCUACAGGCUCCAGGGACAAGCACAAGUGCUGAGGGAGAAUCCAGUGAGCAGCCAUCAAGUACCUAGAGGUGCACCUAGGCAUGGAGCUGGGAAACCUCUUUAGCCCCAAGUUCACUGCACAGGGAUGGGGGAUGGCCUAAACUCCUUAUCCAGGAGAGGGGGCACUCCAGGUGCCUGGAGAUCUGCCUGGGUGUGGAGUGAAGAGGUCCCUGCUUCACCAGGAUCUCUAUAUAGGAAGAAUGGCAUAGGUCAGAAUGCCAAUCCAGGUGAGUGGGUACUUUGAAUACCUGGAGAUCUGCCUAUUGUGGAGCAGAGAAAGCCCCGUUUCACCACAAUCUAUACUCAGGAAGGUUGAGGUGGCUCAAGCUGCUGAACUAAGCAAAUGGGUCCUCCAAAUGCCUGGAGAUCUGCCUGGGCAUGGAGCAGAAAAGGCCCCACUAUAUCUUGAUCUAUGUCUAUGAAGGGUGGGGCAGCUCAGGCUGCUGGUCCAGGCAAACAGGUACUCCAAAUGCCUGGAUUUCUGCCUGUGGCUAGAGUGGAUAGGGCCCCACUGCACCAUGAUCUCAGGGGAACAGGAUGGAGCACCCAGAAAUGGCGUGCACAGACUGGUUCCAAGUCACUAAGCUGACCCUGGCUGCAAGUCUUGCUGCUCAGGAGAAACUGCAGUGGUAGCAGCUCCCAUCCCAUCCUAGUCUUGCAAUGGGGAAUAACAAAAUUCCAGUGCCUACUGCUGAGGUACUUUUCAUAGUUCUAGCUCUGGAGACCCCUAUGCCACUCUAGAGCAGGCACUCCAGUCUCUGACCUGAGACUAAAAUGCCUGCAUGGCUACACUGCCAGGUUGCUAAAGAAUGGCUGACUUUAUGUCCCUGGGUUAAAACACAUCCUGCUUUUGGUCCCAGGUCUGGGAAAAUGCCUGUAGUGUUCCCCAGUGUCUUUUUUCUCAUAGCAUCUCCAAGCUCCUCCCCAGGUUGGCUGCAAGGCUUAGGAUAAACAAGGUGUCCUCCCUUGGCCUGGGUUGCUCGGAUCCCCAGUGGAAAGGUGUGGAUCUGUUUCAGUUUAUCCUACUUAGAGAUUGUUGAGCUUCUUGGAUGUUGAGCUUCUUGGACAUGAAGAUUAAUGUUUUUCAUCAAAUGUAAGUUUUCAGUCAUUAUUCACAUUUUUUUCUGCUCCUUUGCCUUUUUUCUCUAAGUAUGUCACCUUUGUGUAGCAGAAAAAGAAAAGGCAUACAUGACUGGAUUAGGGGCCUCAUCACAUGUCAGGGGCCAGCUCUGCAAGUCUUGUACUUUGGAAAAAGAACCAACUAGCCUGUUCAGCGAUACAAAUGUCAGAAAGUUGAGAAUGCCUGGAUUUCAAAUAUCCUAAUAGACUAUAGAGGAGAUAUGUUUGGUGAAGGAAAUCCUUUCCGGAAUCCUCCAAGUCAUAAUGUAAAUGGUUGCCUACUAAUUCUCAGCCCUUAAAUCUAGUCCUAGUAAGCCCUGAUAAACUGACUCAUACAAGAUGGGAAUGCCUACCAUGAAAUGCUGAGAUGGGAUAUGACAGUGACAACAAAGGCUGCUGCUGUAAUGUGAUCUCUCCAGAUGGGUUCUUUCAUCUUAGGUAAAAAGGUAUUGGUUUUGAAAAUGCUCCCAAGGAAAGCUGCAUACAAAUAUCCAUCUCAGAGUCUAAUUCCAAGGAACCCAGUCCAGAUGGCUGCCUUCCAGAGUCUGGGUUCUCUGCCACUGUUUGAUAUUGGUCAGUCCCUGGACUGUGAGCUCCCUGAGGACACACAGUGCUACAUCAAGUUACUUGGAGCCCUAGGACAACUUCCAUCUCAAGUGAUCCUCUUCCAUAUCAGGGAAUCAUCAAAUGCUUGCUGAAUAAAUUGCCACCCUCUUUGGACUUUGAAAAACGAAGUAUCCUUUUCUCAAAAAUAUGUAGGAGAAUAACAUUUAUACCCUGUAUUAGUUUUUUAGAGCUGCCAUAACAAAAUGCC
rnacentral:lncRNA from 1 species